CCCCGAUCGAUCCCGAUCGGAAAAGUCAGCCACGCGGGACCUGUAGACCCGGGCGACCGAGGUGCAGCCAGGAGCAGCACCUGAAGCCACCUCGAAGGCUCAGCUCGUCAGCCAGGUUCUCACAGCCACCUGCUUCUGCAGCUCAUACCAUUUAAACCCCAGAUGUUUGCCUUUUUUGUUAAGUGAAGGAACAGAGAAGGGACACCAAAUCCAGCCAGACUGUGGCCCUGGGGAUUCACGUCCUGACUCCAGGAGGUCUUCAGGAAUCAGGGCUGUUCCAGACAUCCUCAGCUCCUGCUUGGUACGGCAGUUGACUGGUAAAAGUUAAACGGGAAUAUUAUGAUCAAAAAUGAGCGGCAUGCCAACUGCCACCACGCACAAUGCCGGGACUUUCAUGUGUAUUCUCUUUCCUUCUCUCUCCUUCCCAACAAGCCCAGAAGGCAAGAAUCAUUAUCGUCCCUAUCAUAAAGGUGAGGAAGUUAAGGCUCAGAGAUGGUCAGACAACUAUGGGAAUCCAGCCUAGAGGGGAACCCGAAAUUCGGUUUGACCUGAAAUUCCACAUUUUUCCCAUUCCUUCUUUGUAAUAUUUUCCUGCACAGGUACUCAGGGGAAAUGGGUUGAAUUCAUUGAUGCCAUUUUUAAGUGCUGUUUGUGGGUAAGAGUUUGAAGUCAGUGACAUGGAGCCCCCACGAUGCUGUAAGGAGACGGCAGAACCCACGAGUCCCCGGCUGCCAGCGGCGCUCACUCAGUGCCUGCCCGCAGUCAGGACUCAACAAAAAUGCAGUGGUCGAUCAACUGCUAGUCAACAUUCACCUCUUCCCUGUUGCUUAGGGACGUGCAGGUCACAGGACCCAGUCUGUACACUGGGCUGUGCUGGUAGUGGGUGAGAUGCAGAGCCCCUUGCCUCCAUUGUCCCUGGUUCCUGACCUAAAAAUGAGUCCAGCCGUCAGAUUCCAUCGGAAGCUCCCUCCCUGCGCCCUCCCCCCACCCGAUCUCUGUAGGAGACACAGGCCUGUCUAGUUUCCAUGGAUGGAUCACCCACCCAAGUCGUCCCUGAUGCCACCAGGAUCCAGACUCUCCAGAAAACAAGCCAGGCCCCUGAGAGUUCACCCUUCCGGCAUUGAACUUGAGAGGUUUACAGAGCAGCAGAAAGGCCACAGAAGUUCGCAAACUCUCCUUGGGCUCCCAUAGGCCGGUGCACUCACCACAGGUCAAGAGCCAAACCUACCAUUUCCUGCCUUCUUUGCUGGCAAUGCUUGUUACAGCCAGUCCUGAAGGACGGCCUGCUCUCACCUGCUCGCUGCAACGGCCUCACUCACUUCAGUUCAGCCCACUCUGGGCUCACCCCGAGGUCGCCCGGGGGGAGAGCCCACUCUGUGCCCAGCACCGUGCCAGGAGCUGGGUCUGCAGCAGAUAGGCAGUAAACUACUCUCGCGGGCUCAUCUCUCAGCUCCAGACACCCGAAGUCUCCCCCUCGGGCCACAAGGGUUAAGAUAGAGCGGGCUGCCCACAAAGGAAUGUGAUGAAAUGGCAAAGUCCCUAGUAGGGGACGAGAGUAUGGGGCUAAUGGCCAGCCCUAGGACGGGUCCACCUCAGCACCCCCUCCAGCGGCCCUGCCCCUUCCGGCAGAAAGCCUACAGCUGGGUGUUCUCUUCAGAGUGGCCUCCAGGGGAAGGCCUCACCAGCGUUCACCGGGCCCCGUCUGGCCCCACCCCACCAUGAAAUGGUGCACAAACCCAAGGCACCGCACCGUACCCUCCAAGAAGGCAGGGUUCAUUCCACUUUUGCCCAGUGGUUUCCUGGUAAAUGUUUAACAGCCAGCUGAUUGAAAGCAGAAAAGCUGUCUUAGAGCAUGUGACACCUUCCCCGGUGUCACCGCCCCCACCAUGGCAGUUUUCAAGCCACCAGACUGCAUUGCCGAACAAGGAGUUGGGAAAGAUUGAUCCCACUAUUAAGUGUGUCUGCCUGCAGACACAACACACCAGGGCCACACAGCAAGCAGUGGUGGGGGGGCCACAUUCGGCCCGGGGCUGGCAAACCAUAAAAUACUUCCCAUCUGGCCCCUUUCCAGAAAAGUUUGGUGGCCCCUGAAACACCCCUAACCUUCAGAACAGAGAUACUAAUGCAAUGCAGUAGAAUAAUUAGGAAGUGAUAAGUCUGAUUAACCUUCUUAAAAUUAUAAUUUAAUUGUAAUUUUAUAUAAUUUAAGUGUGCUUAAUGACUGCUUGACAACUCGAAAAAAUUUCUGAAAAGCUAACAACCAGCGGUCAUGAGCCGGGACAGGAUGGCUGUGACCGGCCUAGGCCUCUAGGGCCUGGUCCAGAGGGGCCCACGGGGGGUAUGAGAUGGCUAGAAAUCGAUGCCAGUGUCCUAACUGCUAAACCACCGUGCCCUGCCUCCUUCAUCCCUUCAUUCAGUUCCAUCAAACACCCAUCUAUUUGCAUCUUCUGAGCGCCAAGGACUUUGUUAGGCAAAGCGGUUCCUCAGAUCCGCAGGGGAAGGGGGUGGGGAUACUUCAAGACCCCCAGUCGACAGCUGAGACCAUGGAUGGUACUGAACCCCAUAUAGAUUGUUUUUUCCUAUAUAUACACGCCUAUGAUAAAGUUUAAUUUAUAAAUUAGGCCCUGUAAGAGGUGAACAACGACAAAUUACAACAUAGAAUUAUAACAAUAUAUUGUAAUAAAAGUUACGUGAAUAUGGUC